rnacentral:rRNA from 1 species
GUAGGGAGCGAGCGUUAUCCGGAUUUAUUGGGUGUAAAGGGUGCGUAGACGGGAAUACAAGUUGGUUGUGAAAUCCCUCGGCUCAACCGAGGAACUGCAACCAAAACUAUAUUUCUUGAGUGCUGGAGAGGAAAGUGGAAUUCCUAGUGUAGCGGUGAAAUGCGUAGAUAUUAGGAGGAACACCAGUGGCGAAGGCGACUUUCUGGACAGUAACUGACGUUGAGGCACGAAAGUGUGGGGAGCAAA